UGGGAAUUCAAAGCAAAUUUCUAGGUUAGUUCAAAAUAGCUCAAUUUGAAAAAUUUGUCAUGUUAAUUCUGUUUGGCUACUUUGGUCUAGAAUUUGAAAUUCCCUUGUAUUCCCAGCAUUUCUGAAAUUAGGGAAUAAUUCCGAUUGUUACGUAAAGGUCUCCAUCGAUGGUUUUGCUGCCUUCCUCUACACAUCACAUCUUCAGUUACCGGUUGUCUUACUGGUAUAUUCACAAUGCAAGUGUGCGAGAACAAAAUGGGGCAAUUUUAAGAUCUUGUGGCACGUGGACAACAAAAUAGGAAUCUACUUUGCUCGUCAGCCAAUUUCAGUGACUGGUAAUGUGAUAAGAAUAGCACGCCAUGUUUUUAUGGAAAUUCUGCAUAUCUUAAAGUUGUUUCCCAAGACUUUUAAUAUUAUGGUUACUUAUCCCUAUACGUAACAAAAUAUGUCAUCUGUGAGCUG